rnacentral:antisense_RNA from 1 species
UGUGGGAGCUGGCUUGCCUGCGAAAGCGGUGUGUCAGCUUGUACAUUUGUCACUGAUAAACAGCUAUCGCAGGCAAGCCAGCUCCCACA